UCAAGGCAGUCAGCUCGAUCCCCGUAGCCUUCCGUGAAGGACCACGGGCUGGUCAGAAGCAGUCUGACAGGUCACAGAGCCAGCCCAGCUGUUGGGGGGAUUAGCUGUAAGGAAAGCUGAUCCUAUGACACAUGCUUUAGGUAUGUCCGCCCCUGGGAAACGUGACCUUCAAGGUUUGCGUUAUAGAACUUUAUUCGCUUCAAAAGAUGGAGAACACUUUUGUUUUCUGAGUCCCUGGAGAAUCAUGAUGCAGACAGCUUUGGAGGUACCCAAAGAAAUGGAACACAGAAUCCCAAUUACAUAUAGGCCGCACACAUGAUAAACAACUGCUGGUUUGGGAAUUGCUGGGCGAAGCUUCCUUUCGGCAGUUUGCUCAGAAUAUAUUGCUGAUGAUUUCUGAGAUGCUCAAUUCAUCAUUCACAAUUGCUUUGCAGUAAAAUGCUUGCAGAAGGGAAAAUAGCUGUGAACGCUGCUCCCCAAGGAGGAAAGCCUAUAACUGCUGGAGCCAAAGAUGUCAUCGCAGGUUUUAUCAGUAUUUCAUUUUCUUCCCAUGAAACCGAUAAGCAUUCGAAGCCCUGAGUGUGCUCUCCUUAGAAAUCAGAGGAUCAGUGGGGUGUGGUGGCUCAUGCCUGUAAUCUCAGCACUUUGGGAGGCCAAGACAGGAGGAUCGCUUGAGCCCAAGAGUAGUUCAAGACCAGCCUGGGCAACAUAGUGUGUCUAAAAUAUAUAUAUGUUUUAUACAUGUAUAAAAGAAACCAGAGGAUCCAAAAAAAUAGAGCCUGAGGGUGGAAAAAAGAAAUCAGAGAAGCCAUGAAGAAGAAAAUAAGCCAGACAGAAUGGCGUGCACCUGUGGUCCCAGCUACCCAGGAGGAUCCCUUGAGCCUAGGAGUUUGAGUCCAGCCUGGGCAACAUAGCAAGUGUC
rnacentral:lncRNA from 1 species